rnacentral:rRNA from 1 species
GACGAACGCUGGCGGCGUGCUUAACACAUGCAAGUCGAACGGUAAGGCCCUUCGGGGUACACGAGUGGCGAACGGGUGAGUAACACGUGGGUGAUCUGCCCUGCACUUCGGGAUAAGCCUGGGAAACUGGGUCUAAUACCGGAUAGGACCACUGCCUGCAUGGGUGGUGGUGGAAAGCUUUUGCGGUGUGGGAUGGGCCCGCGGCCUAUCAGCUUGUUGGUGGGGUGAUGGCCUACCAAGGCGACGACGGGUAGCCGGCCGGGGAGGGUGACCGACCGAACUGGGACUGAGAUACGGCCGAGACUCCUACGGGAGGCAGCAGUGGGUAAUAUUGCCCAAUGGGCGCAAGCCUGAUGCAGCGACGCCGCGUGAGGGAUGACGGCCUUCGGGUUGUAAACCUCUUUCAGCACCGACGAAGCGCAAGUGACGGUAGGUGCAGAAGAAGGACCGGCCAACUACGUGCCAGCCGCCGCCGUAA